rnacentral:rRNA from 1 species
UACGUAGGGUGCAAGCGUUGUCCGGAAUUAUUGGGCGUAAAGAGCUCGUAGGCGGUCUGUCACGUCGGCUGUGAAAACCCCGAGGCUCAACCUCGGGCCUGCAGUCGAUACGGGCAAACUAGAGUACUGCAGGGGAGACUGGAAUUCCUGGUGUAGCGGUGAAAUGCGCAGAUAUCAGGAGGAACACCGGUGGCGAAGGCGGGUCUCUGGGCCGAUACUGA